rnacentral:lncRNA from 10 species
GAGCUGAGCAAGGAUGGGGAGAAGCUUCACACUGGUCCCUUGGGGAGUUCUGGGCUCAAAUGUAGCACAGAGAUAGCCCCACCUUGAUGUGAGGAAUGAAGCAGUUCUCUAGAGGGGGGCCAUAAUCAGAUGCCAGUUGCUCUUGGCCGUCACGGGGAGCAGCUGGGGAGGGACGUGGCCACCAGAAAAGAAAUUUCAGUGGGGCACCAAGAGGAGGGUGGGGAGGCAGCAAGCAGAAUGUUGAACAGGAAUCCUCUUUGGAAACUAACCAACCCUGUUCCUACUUUUUUUUUUUUUUCUUUUUUUCCUGGCAGGAAGCAUGGUUAUGUCCCCUGAAGCCCUGGUCCACAUGAAGCUCUUCCUGCUUUUCUUCAGAGGAAGAUGCAGGAGCUGGUUAAUGGAAUGGAUUUUGCAUUCAGACAUCUCUUGGGGCUGCCUGUAGGUGGAUAUGUUCAUGGAAGACGGUGAAAAAGACAAGAAUAGGAUUUGCUGUAUAGAAUCACUAUAGUCACCAUCACACUGAGUAUCAACAACAUCUCUUGUUAUCCUCACAACUGUGCAAAACAGGUAAGGAGGAGAGUAUGACACCGUAUUAGUCCAUUCUCACACAGCUAUAAAAAAUACCUGAGACUAGGUAAUUUAUAAAGAAAAGAGGUUUAAUUGGCUCACAGUUCCACAGGCUGUACAGGAAGCAUGAUGCUGGCAUCUGCUUAGCUUCUGGGAAGUCCUCAGGAAACUUACAGUCAUGGUGGAAGACAAAGGGGGAGUAAGCACCUCACAUGGCCAGAGCAAGAGGAAGAGAG